rnacentral:rRNA from 1 species
UGGGCGUAAGCGCACGCAGGCGGUCUGUUAAGUCAGAUGUGAAAUCCCCGGGCUCAACCUGGGAACUGCAUUUGAAACUGGCAGGCUUGAGUCUUGUAGAGGGGGGUAGAAUUCCAGGUGUAGCGGUGAAAUGCGUAGAGAUCUGGAGGAAUACCGGUGGCGAAGGCGGCCCCCUGGACAAAGACUGACGCUCAGGUGCGAAAGCGUGGGGAGCAAACAGGAUUAGAUACCCUGGUAGUCCACGCCGUAAACGAUGUCGACUUGGAGGUUGUGCCCUUGAGGCGUGGCUUCCGGAGCUAACGCGUUAAGUCGACCGCCUGGGGAGUACGGCCGCAAGGUUAAAACUCAAAUGAAUUGACGGGGGCCCGCACAAGCGGUGGAGCAUGUGGUUUAAUUCGAUGCAACGCGAAGAACCUUACCUACUCUUGACAUCCAGAGAACUUGCCAGAGAUGGCUUGGUGCCUUCGGGAACUCUGAGACAGGUGCUGCAUGGCUGUCGUCAGCUCGUGUUGUGAAAUGUUGGGUUAAGUCCCGCAACGAGCGCAACCCUUAUCCUUUGUUGCCAGCGGUUAGGCCGGGAACUCAAAGGAGACUGCCAGUGAUAAACUGGAGGAAGGUGGGGAUGACGUCAAGUCAUCAUGGCCCU